GCCCUGGUGGCUCAUCGGUCUAAGCGCGCACCAUAAAGGCUGUGUCGCGGCAAUCCUGGUUCGAUUCCAGCUCAGGUCA